rnacentral:rRNA from 1 species
GUGGGAUAACUGAGGUAAUUCUUGAGCUAAUACACGCUAUUUAUACCACAUUAGUGGUGCGUUUAUUUGAUUAAACCAUUAUUAUUGGUUGACUCAAAAUAUCCUUGCUGAUUUUGUUACUAAAACAUACCGUAUGUGUAUCUGGUUUAUCAACUUUCGAUGGUAGGGUAUUGGCCUACCAUGGUUGUGACGGAUAACGGAGAAUUAGGGUUCGACUCCGGAGAGGGAGCCUGAGAAACGGCUACCACAUCCAAGGAAGGCAGCAGGCGCGAAAAUUACCCAAUUUUAGUUUAAAGAGGUAGUGACGAAAAAUGACAACCAAAUAUUAUUAUUAAUAUUUGGAUUGAAAAUCUUCAAGUUUAAAUAACUUGUUGGUAAAGGAAAGGGCAAGUCUGGUGCCAGCAGCCGCGGUAAUACCAGCUUUCCAAGUGCAUAAAAUGAUUGUUGUGGUUAAAAAGCUCGUAGUUGGAUUAUAAAGAUUGUGUAAUGAGCAUCUUGGAUGUUAUUAUUUCAUUACCAUCUUAUUAUUUUUAUUAUAUUAGUAAUAAUAUAAUAACUGUUACUUUGAAUAAAUCAGAGGGUUUAAACCAGGCAUUUAAUAUGUUUGUAUGGUCUAGCAUGGAAUAACACUAUAGAAAAAGUUAGUGUGGUUUCACUAAUCUUUUUCAUGAUUAAUAGGAACAAACGGGGGCAUUCGUAUCGCUACGUUAGAGGUGAAAUUCUUGGACCGUAGCGAGACGUCCUANUGCGAAAGCAUUUGCCAAGAAUGUUUUCAUUAAUCAAGAACGAAAGUUAGAGGUUCGAAGGCGAUCAGAUACCGCCCUAGUUCUAACCNUAAACUAUGCCUACUAGGUGUAUGAAUUAUUAGUUAUAAUAAUUUAUGCACCUUCUCGGAAACGAAAGUCUUUCGGUUCCGGGGGAAGUAUGGUUGCAAAGCUGAAACUUAAAGGAAUUGACGGAAGGGCACCACCAGGAGUGGAGCCUGCGGCUUAAUUUGACUCAACACGGGAAAACUCACCCGGGCCGGACACUAUAAGGAUUGACAGAUUGAUAGCUCUUUCAUGAUUUAGUGGUUGGUGGUGCAUGGCCGUUCUUAGUUCGUGGAUAUGAUUUGUCUGGUUGAUUCCGAUAACGAGCGAGACUUUUAUGUUAUAUUAAAUAUUUUUAUUAAUUAUAUAAUAAUAAAUAUUUUAAUAACAGAUUAAUAGUGUUUAACUAUUUGAGAGAGAGCAAUAACAGGUCUGUGA